CAGAUGUAUUGACGAAGCCUCGUAUGUGGAGGAGUCAACCUUCAAUGACCACGUUGAAGGAGAUGACUGGAGCGACUAUUCAGAUCAUGAGGAGGAUACAUCAUAUCGCUUGUUUAAUGCCUCAGACUAUCAGCCCCUGGCACGCAGGGUAGUUAAUACUCUUGGUCUCCAGACAGCGCCUUCAACUUCGUCCGCCCCAGCUAUCAAAGGGGCCAAGGUCCUCAAAUCCCCUGCACCUACUGAACACUACAUCCUGGUGCCGGACCCAAUUGCCAAAUUAGUCUCUGAAGAAUGGGCCCAUCCACUCAAAGCUUGACGCUUCAAGAACCUGGCUGACAGACUUUACGCCCUAGCCCCAGACUUUGCCACCAAGUUAGAUGUCCCUGGCAUAGAUGAACCAAUCGCUCGCCUUGUUUCACGAUCGCUUUUGCCCAGGGAAGGGGAAUCCCACCUAGAAGACACUACUGAGCGACGAAUACACUUCGCCCUCCGCAAGAAUCACGAGGCCACUGCCCUAGCCAUGCGUGCCUCCGCUUCAGCCUCCAUCUUCUCCAGAGCAUCUAUGAUGUGGCUGGAUGACCUUCUAGAGGACGCUAACCCUGAUCCUGUCACCCUCAGAAGAGCACUAUUGAAAUUGCGUAAGACAGCAGCUUUUGUGGCCGAUGCCACUUUGGAUGCCACUCAAUUAGGGGCACGAGCCAUGACGGCUCAAAUAGUCGCUCGUCACACCCUCUGGCUUCGCCACUGGCAAGCUGAUUCAGCGGCCAGAUUGAACCUGUCCAGGGCUCCUUACUCCGGAUCUCUACUCUUCGGCGAGGAAGCUCUAAAGGCAGUGCUGGUUGAUCCAAAAGACGCCCACAAACCGGUUUUGGCCACAGUCAAGAACAGCGACCACAGGCCCUUCAGGCGAUUUCCUUCCUUCCGUUCUAACCAGCCCUUUCGAGGAACGCGGCCAGGAGGACGAGGCCGCGACUUCAGAUCUUAUGAUCCCAACGCAUUCAGGGGCUCCUGGAACCGACGCUUCCAGGGCAGAGGUCAGUACCAAGGGCGCAGGGGCAACUCAUCGUCCUCAUAUAAGGGAGGUCCUCGCCUAUGCAAGUAGUCUUAACGCCCUCCCCAUAGGUGGCAGAUUACUUAAUUUUGGAGAUCGAUGGCUGCGCCUUACUACGGUCUCCUGGAUCAGGGACCUUUUCAGUUAUGGCUAUGCCAUAGAGUUCUGGGCAACCCCAUCAGACAGAUUCCAUCCGUCCCCUUGCCCAAGGGCACCAGCCAGGCACAACAUCAUGCAGACAGCUAUCCACCACCUCUUGGACAUAGCGGCGAUAGAGCCAGUUCCCACAACUGAAAGGUCGGAAGGGGUGUACUCCCUCCUAUUUGCUGUCCCAAAACGAGAUUUAUCAUGGAGGGCGGUAUUGGACCUAACAGGACAUUGCCAGCUCCAACCAUCGCAAAGUUCGUUUGAGCCCUGCACUGCGCCUCUCCUUCCGCUGGUGGACCAAGGUUCAACACCUCUCCAGGGGCACGUCGUUCAGAGAACCCCGCAGAACCGUUGUAACCACAGAUGCCAGCCUCAUCGGUUGGGGAGCCCACUGCAACUCCCAGUACGUUCAGGGGGUUUGGUCCACCGCGGAGCAAACUCAAAGCAUCAACUGGCUGGAGCUAAAGGCUGUCCACUUAGCUCUACGUCAUUUUCAGUCUCUGUUCCCUUUGGACCAUGUGCUCAUUCGAACAGACAACACGUGUGUAAAAUCACAUUUGAACAGACAAGGGGGCACCAGGUCUCGUCCCCUGCAGGACUUAGCCUCCCUCAUUUUUGUCUGGGCAGAACAACAUCUACAAUCCCUGAAAGCAGAACAUCUCAGAGGGAUUUGGAAUGUGACAGCAGACUGGCUCAGCAGACAACAGAUAUUUCCGGGAGAAUGGAAACUUCAUCCAGCCAUUUUCCAUCGUCUCCAAUGUCGGUUCGGCGCCCUCUCAGUCAACCUGUUUGCUCCCAGUCGCAAUUGCCAGCUUCCCAGGUACUUUGCCCAAUACCUGGACUCAACAGCAGAAGCAGUGGAUGCUCUGACAACACCGUGGCCAGAUGGUCUAUUGUACGCCUUUCCUCCCAUACCAUUGUUAGCCAAAACCUUGAGGAAGGCGCGAACCGAGAGGGCACAGCUGGUUCUGAUAGCACCAUUUUGGCCACGCCGACCGUGGUUUUCAGAUCUUCUGGCAAUGUCAAUGAUGGAUCCUUGGACACUUCCAGUCAGGCCAGACCUUCUAUCCCAGGGUCCAGUACUGCACCAGGACCCUACUUGGCUCAAUCUAACAGCGUGGCGUUUGAAUGGGGACAUUUGUGGUCAGCUGGACUGUCUGACGCAGUGAUUGAUAUUAUUUUGGCCUCGAGAAGACCAUCUACUACUCGUAUUUAUCAACAUACCUGGGUGGCUUUCUCCAAGUGGUGUCAGUCCCACCACCAUGAUCCAUCCCAAGCCACUGUGCAUCAGGUGCUGCAAUUUCUUCAUAGCGGCUUUAUGAUGGGACUUCGACCCAACACUCUAUGUCGACAUGCGUCCACUCUGUCGUCCAUUCUCUCAGUGUCCUUUCCUGGAGAGCAUAUUUCCUCACAUCCGUUCAUCAAACGCUUUUUGAGGGGAGUCGCCCUACGCUCUCCGCCUGUUGUCCAUCGUUUUCCUUCAUGGAGUUUGCCGAAGGUUCUGCAGGCUUUGCAACGCCCUCUGUUUGAACCCAUCAGGUCUGUGCCCCUACGUAUGCUGUCCUUCAAGGUCUUGUUUCUGAUCGCAAUCACAUCUGCCAGACGCGUUUCGGAGUUGGGCGCAUUGUCUUCUGCUCGACACCUCUGCGUCUUCCAUAAGGACUCUGUUGUGCUGAAGACUGAUCCUUCCUUCCGUCCCAAGGUCGAUUCAGUUUUUCAUUGCAACCAGGACAUUGUUUUACCUUCCUUUUGCCCGAAUCCUACCCAUCCGCUCGAGAAGGCUUGGCAUUUGUUGGAUGUUCGGAGGGCUCUCAAGACAUACCUGUCUAGGACCCAAGAGAUUCGAAGAACGGAGUCUCUGUUUGUAUCCUUUCAUCCAAGGUCUAUGGGGCAUAAAGUAUCUAAUUCUACCUUAUCUCGUUGGUUAAGGGCAUGCAUUAUUUUAGCAUAUGAGUCCCUGAAGCUGUCAGUUCCAGCUAGUAUAACGGCUCAUUCUACCAGGUCAGCUGCCACUUCGGCUGCUUUUGCCACUAAUGCUCCUGUUGCCGAUAUUUGUAGGGCUGCAAUCUGGUCUACCCCACACUCGUUUAUAAGGCAUUAUAAAAUUGAUCGUUAUGCCUCUGCUGACGCUUCUUUCGGCAGACGAGUGUUACAACAGGUUCUUAAUAAGGAUUAACACGUGGGUGGUCCCUCCCUGUAUGGGCUGCUGUGGUACAUCCCGCUGUGAUGGCCGGACUCAUAGGGAAAAUGGACCAUUGGUCUCACCUGAAGGGUGAUUUUCCUAUGAGUACGGACAUCACGACCCUCCCAGUUGGUGGAUGACUAUAUAUUUUCUAAUGUGUUAUAUAUUACUGUUACGCUAUUAUAUUUAAAUUUAAGAGUGAAGUCAAGACUUCUAGUUCUGUUAUACCGCUAUGUUGCAGUCAUGUUACUAUGCAUGGUACUAUUGUGUUAUUUUCCUGCUGCCAGGCCGGUUGGCCUUGUUCUUGUAUCUUUAGAUAUUUCUCCUUAGACUUGCUGCGAAUGAACUGGAGAGUGGGAGGGGCCUGACGCCCCUAGUCUUGACUUCAAAGACAUUCUUGCCUUCGCACGAUAGGUGGAGCUAACACCCGCUGUGAUGUCCGUACUCAUAGGAAAAUCACCCUUCAGCUCACAGUGUGACUUUGGGCCAGUGGCAGACACUCAGCCUAACAGGAUUCAUUCAGUGAAGCUAACAAGCGGAAGGAGGAGACAGCCUUAGACACCACCCUGUGCUCAUUGGAGGAAGGGUAGGAUUUGCUUCAUCUGGUUAAUGUCUGUAUUGAGGAGAAUCCUAGACUUCAUAAAAGGAAAAUCAAAUGCCAAUUAAACAUUGGUGGACUCAGGUUAACUACUAAUUAUGGAGAUGCAUUUUGAAUGUAAAUCAGUUGAAUGCCCAUUCAUUGUGUAAACU